CUAUAACGGUCCUAAGGUAGCGAAAUUCCUUGUCGGGUAAGUUCCGACCCGCACGAAAGGCGUAACGAUUUGGGCACUGUCUCAACAAUGCAUCCGGUGAAAUUGAAGUACCAGUGAAGAUGCUGGUUACCUGCGCCAGGACGGAAAGACCCCGUGGAGCUUUACUGUAGCCUGAUAUUGAAAUUCGGCACAGCUUGUACAGGAUAGGUAGGAGGCUGGGAAGGCAUGACGCCAGUUGUGAUGGAGCCAAUGUUGGGAUACCACCCUUGCAGUAUUGGGCUUCUAACCAGCCGCCGUGAACCGGCGGUGGGACAAUGUCAGGCGGGGAGUUUGACUGGGGCGGUCGCCUCCGAAAGAGUAUCGGAGGCGCCCAAAGGUUCCCUCAGAUUGGUUGGAAAUCAAUCGCAGAGUGCAAAGGCAGAAGGGAGCUUGACUGCGACACCGACGGGUGGAGCAGGUACGAAAGUAGGGCUUAGUGAUCCGGUGGUAUUAAGUGGAAGUGCCAUCGCUCAACGGAUAAAAGCUACCCUGGGGAUAACAGGCUUAUCUCCCCCAAGAGUUCACAUCGACGGGGAGGUUUGGCACCUCGAUGUCGGCUCAUCGCAUCCUGGGGCUGUAGUCGGUCCCAAGGGUUGGGCUGUUCGCCCAUUAAAGCGGUACGCGAGCUGGGUUCAGAACGUCGUGAGACAGUUCGGUCCCUAUCCGUCGUGGGCGUAGGAAAUUUGAGAGGAGCUGUCCUUAGUACGAGAGGACCGGGAUGGACUUACCGCUGGUGUACCAGUUGUCUUGCCAAAGGCAUAGCUGGGUAGCUAAGUGCGGAAGGGAUAAGCGCU
rnacentral:ncRNA from 1 species